GAUGAACGCUGGCGGCGUGCCUAAUACAUGCAAGUCGAGCGAACAGACGAGGAGCUUGCUCCUCUGACGUUAGCGGCGGACGGGUGAGUAACACGUGGAUAACCUACCUAUAAGACUGGGAUAACUUCGGGAAACCGGAGCUAAUACCGGAUAAUAUAUUGAACCGCAUGGUUCAAUAGUGAAAGACGGUUUUGCUGUCACUUAUAGAUGGAUCCGCGCCGCAUUAGCUAGUUGGUAAGGUAACGGCUUACCAAGGCAACGAUGCGUAGCCGACCUGAGAGGGUGAGCCGCCACACUGGACUGGACACGCGCCCACCACUCCUGGGGGGGGCAGCGGGGGGAAAUCCCCCACAGGGGGCGACCCCGUGGGGGCACCCCGCCGCGUGGGUUAAGGGUCUCUGCGUCUUGAAACUCUCUUUUUUGAGGGAAAAAAAAGUGUGUAAAAAACUGCGCGCCUGUACCCGGCCUAUACACAGAACCCCGCGGAUCUCCGC
rnacentral:rRNA from 1 species